AUGAAGAUGAUGAGUUGUUGUUGUCACUGACGACUGACCUGUUAUCACCUCAGGCUGUCAAGCCUACCCCUGUGCUCUCGGACUUUAUUGAUGAUACUGACCCAAGGUUAGCGGUACCUGAGCAGCCAGAGAAUCCAGAGCUUGAGCGUGAGAUUGCCCAGAGAUACCGACGCAAAAAAGCAAUGAGGGCCAGGUCAAGGUCAACCCUUCCAAGGCCCAAAUGUUUUUCCAGUCAAGAUGGAAACCAACUUAUGCAAAACGAAAGUGAAAGUGAAAAGGCCUUUGCAGGUCAGAGGUCAGAGUUGAGUGUGAAUCUUGCAAGUGAAAGUAAAAGUGGAGGACAGACUUCAAGCCAAGGUAUCUGUGAUAUUCAAAGUGAAAUUGAAAGGAAGUCUGCUGUUCUAAGGCUAAAUGCAGGAACUUUGCAGGGAUUCGAGGACAAAACUAGUGAAAAACAGAAUUUUGACUGCAAAGUGUCUGGCGAGGAUGAAAAACAUACAGUACCUUCAGUAUUAUUGGAUGAGGGAGAUGAGAUGUCAAGGCCAGGUAAGUCACUCUCUGAAGAUUCAAGGCCACCGGGGUCAAAGUUCACAGAGAGUGACACAGACUCACCUGUGCCUUGUGUAAAUAAUAAAUUACCGUCUUCCGUUGGGAGUGCUUGUGAAAGUCACCAUCAUGUGGAUGAAGGCUUGGCACACCCACUUGAUUCUGAAACAGUUUCACAAAAAGUGGAAGUUCAGAGCAACUCUGAAAACAGCGAUGAAAUGAGACGGUCUCCAGUCUUAGCAAAUGGUAUGCUGUUACAUGAAAAGUUUGUUGAACCUAAUGUUAAUCAACCUACUGUGGAUCAUACUGACAGGUUUCUAGAAUCGGGGCAAAAACCUCAGAGUUCUGUGUUUCCCAAAACCGACACGGAUAUUGCAGAAUAAUUCCAGCGCAGAGAGUAAGCUUACGCCUUAUGAAAUGUCUGUCUGUGUAGACAAGCUCAGUCCAAGAAAAACGGAGACAUUGGAAAGAUUUACUCUGCCAAACAAAUUCACAUAGCUAAAUCUGACAGUGAAUUAGGAGAGGAGGAAAGCAUUAGGAGCCUUCAAACUCAGCCGUCUAAGGAAUUAGAGUGUAGAAAUAGUGAAAUAUUGAAUGGUUCGACUGGACAGAUUGACAUGCAUAGGGUGUCAAACAAAGUAAAUAACUCUGCUGAAAACACACACUCAGGGCGAAACAACCAGGUUUCGUCCUCUGUAGUCCCACAAGUUCACUACAAGAAGAGAAAUUCCACAGAAGCUGAACAACGACGACAUAAAGCGGUGAUACCUAAGAGCGUUUUGAAAGAAAAUGGCUCAGGGAAGGGAGGUAACCCUCUCAGGGGCUAGUAAUCCAUGCCUUGUUUCUACAUCAUCACAGAUCAGCCAUGUCGAAGGCAACAGAUAUAACCAAAGGACAAAUCUCCAGUCCACUAAAGGUUUAUCCGGAUCCAAGCCAUCGUUGUUCAAUUCUGCCAAGGCUAAGAUUCAGUCUCUGAGAAAAGCUAAGAGCAUGGGACCAAUUGCAUCAGCCAGAUACGGAGAUAGACAAAGAGAACCAGCUUAACGCUGUCCUAACGAUGUCAUCACAUCACCAUGGUGACCUGCCUCCGCCCCCACCUCAUCCCGGACGGGUGAAGAAGUCAACGUCUUUUAAGUCACUUUUGAAUUUUGGCAGGAAGCCAAAAGACGGAUCGC